rnacentral:rRNA from 1 species
GUUAGGGACUUCCGCAAUGGGACGGAAAGUCUGACGGAGCAACGCCGCGUGAGUGAUGAAGGUUUUCGGAUCGUAAAGCUCUGUUGUUAGGGAAGAACAAGUACCGUUCGAAUAGGGCGGUACCUUGACGGUACCUAACCAGAAAGCCACGGCUAACUACGUGCCAGCAGCCGCGGUAAUACGUAGGUGGCAAGCGUUGUCCGGAAUUAUUGGGCGUAAAGGGCUCGCAGGCGGUUUCUUAAGUCUGAUGUGAAAGCCCCCGGCUCAACCGGGGAGGGUCAUUGGAAACUGGGGAACUUGAGUGCAGAAGAGGAGAGUGGAAUUCCACGUGUAGCGGUGAAAUGCGUAGAGAUGUGGAGGAACACCAGUGGCGAAGGCGACUCUCUGGUCUGUAACUGACGCUGAGGAGCGAAAGCGUGGGGAGCGAACAGGAUUAGAUACCCUGGUAGUCCACGCCGUAAACGAUGAGUGCUAAGUGUUAGGGGGUUUCCGCCCCUUAGUGCUGCAGCUAACGCAUUAAGCACUCCGCCUGGGGAGUACGGUCGCAAGACUGAAACUCAAAGGAAUUGACGGGGGCCCGCACAAGCGGUGGAGCAUGUGGUUUAAUUCGAAGCAACGCGAAGAACCUUACCAGGUCUUGACAUCCUCUGACAAUCCUAGAGAUAGGACGUCCCCUUCGGGGGCAGAGUGACAGGUGCUGCAUGCUCUUUUGUCUCAACGAACC